rnacentral:tRNA from 2 species
GCGGCGGUAGCUCAAUUGGUCAGAGCAGCGGACUCAUAACCCGUCAGGUUGCCGGUUCGAGCCCGGCCCGCCGCAC